GAAAUAUAUGCCCACCCCCCCCAGAGAGAGAUGAGCGGUGUAAUCUAUUUAAUGGGCUCAGGGUUGUGUUUUCCAUCAGCUCUCUGGUGCAGAGCCAGAGCCAGCCCUGCAGUGCUGACGCAGGUGCUUUCUCUGCACUAAAGCAGAAGUGCAUGCCCCCACAAUGCACUGCAGCGAGGGUCACACAGGGUCGACGGUGAAACGAAUGCUUUCUGCAUUCAGCGAACAACACUCAUCGGAGCAGUCUGCACAGAUUUCAACCCAUUCACGCAACAGAUUAUUUGAAGCAAUUCAGGUUAAGUAGCCUGCUGUACCUAGCUCAAGGGAACAAUGGCACUAACUCAUCUGGGACUUAAACUUAUAACCUUUGCGUUAUGGGUCCAGUUUUCUGGCCGUUACACAGUUACCCUGUUGGGACGCUGUGGGAGUGCGGCUGUGUGUGUGAUUGCAUCACAAGGCUCCAGCGCGGGGUCACACGGUGGGGAAGCUUUAGCAGGCAGAGGCUUGCGUAUGGGUCGGGGGGGGUGUCGUCUCCAGAUGGACCCCAACCCCCUCACCCCCCCUCAGCCUGGCGCUACCCAUCACCCCAUCCCAGCGUCCUCAGCGGCACCGCGCACGGACGCCACAUCACCACCCUCACCUCCCGCUGGAAGAGGAAGUGGCGAUCACCAUGACAACCGCACUGGAGAUGCGGCGGCCUUGCUCUGAUGAUGGUGUGUGCGGUGAGCGGCAGGUACUGCGCCUGCAGCUCGCUGCAGCACUGCGGGGGGAGGAAUCCGCAUUUAUAUGCAGCGCAUGCACGCCCGCUGCCCGCUGAUCGCCAUCCCCCCCCCAACCCCCCCGAGGCGGCGCGACGCGGACCGCGUGCUAUUCCCAAACGCAAACGGUCACUGCCGGCUCUGUUCUCCCUCUCCAUGGCAACGGCAGGGACAGCGGGUCCGCUGAAGAACGCGAGUGCAUCAGGGCUCUUUGUGUGAGUGAGAGACAGAGAGAGAGAGACACACAGCGAAUGGAGACUCUGCUUUCCAGUGUUAGAAUCAACACUGGGAAUUAACACUAGGAAUUAACACUGAGAGUUAACACUGGGAAUUCACACUGAGAGUUAACACUGUGAAUCAACACUGUGUGAGCUUGGAGAAUCAACACAAAGUCAACUCUGAGCCAACACUGUGAUGGCAUUGAGAAUCGACACAGUACGCACUAGCACUGCCAGAGAACACUGAGAAUCAACACUGUGAUGUCACUGUCCUUCUGUGUGGCAACUGAGGACAUCCCACCUGAAGUUCUUACUCAGAGGUGAAGAUCCUGUAUUUGGAGUACGCAAGACAUACAGCUCCUGCAGGCUGCAGGUCCGGGCUCGCAGGCAGGAGGCAGAAAAAGGCGCCACAGGUGCAGCUGAACAGGUGAGAUCUGUAGCCCUGGGGCACUGCUGUAUACAGAGGAUGAAAGACAACAUGGAGGAACUGUCAGUUAAACCUAGGCCAUGAAUCUAAAAGAGGGGGAAAAAAAAACAUU